rnacentral:rRNA from 1 species
GACGAACGCUGGCGGCGUGCCUAAUACAUGCAAGUCGAACGAAGUGGCGCACGGGUGAGUAAUAUAUAGUUAAUCUGCCCUACACAGAGGAACAACAGUUGGAAACGACUGCUAAUACAUCAUAGUGUAGGAUGAGACUAUAUCGUAUCAGCUAGUUGGUAAGGUAAUGGCUUACCAAGGCUAUGACGCGUAACAGGUCGGAGAGGAUGAUCAGUAACAUUGGAACGGAGACACGGUCCGGACUGCUACGGGAAGGAGCAGUAAGGUGAAUUACGCAAGGGGGGAAAGCGUGGCGCAGCAACGCCGCGUAAAGGAUUGUAGUUGUCGGAGAGUAAACGCCGUUUAUCAGGAAAGCGGUACCUGAUGAAAAAGCACCGGCUAACUCCGUGCCAGCAGCCGCGGUAAUAC